CCCUUAGAUGUCCUGGGCCGCACGCGCGUUACACUGAUGCAUUCAACGAGCUUAUAACCUUGGCCGAGAGGCCUGGGCAAUCUUGUUAACGUGCAUCGUGAUAGGGAUAGACUAUUGCAAUUAUUGGUCUUCAACGAGGAAUUCCUAGUAGACGUAGUUCAUCAGACUGCAUCGAUUACGUCCCUGCCCUUUGUACACACCGCCCGUCGCUCCUACCGAUUGAAUGCUCAGGUGAGCCAUUCGGACUUUCAUCAUGCUGGUUUCCAGUUUUGAUGAAGGAAAGUCUUGCGAACCUUAUCAUUUAGAGGAAGGAGAAGUCGUAACA
rnacentral:rRNA from 1 species